AGUCUCAAGCAAUGGAAGUUGCAAAGUUGAUUAAGGAUGAAGAUGGUGUUACUGCAGCGAUUGAUGCGUUUCACCGGCAUCUACCUUCUGAGCUACUGCUUCCAACACCAUCUCCGGUGGAGGAUCACCCAAAUGCUUUGCAGUGGUUUUUUCUUCAAAUAUCCAAGUGGUGUUAUGUGCCUUGUGGUGGUGUAUAAUGUUUUUUUCCCCACUAAGUAAAGCAUUUUCUUUUAUUCAUUUUAUAGCAAUGGACAUAUUUUUAGCUGUGCGUGCCUGUAUAGCUUAAACUACAUAUGUACUCAUUACCAAAUUUUACAAGUUCUCAUUGUUUUGUAUGAGACAUUUCGAAUGUAUUCGUCAAAGUUUAGCUCUAGUGGCUCUCGUGACCUCCUUAUCUGUGAUGAGGCUCACAGACUAAAGAAUGAUUAGACGAUAACAAACAGGGUACUGUACAAAAUUUUUCCGAUUUAAAGGCAUGUUUCUGACUUUUGUUCAAGGCACCUUGAGGGCUGUGAUUCUGAGUUUCUCACCUGUACUUUGUGAAUCAGGCAUUGGCAGCUCUUCCAUGUAAACGUAGAAUUCUAUUGUCAGGAACUCCUUUAAUGACUUGGAGGAAUUCUGUGGAAGUUGAGGCUGAGAAACUACUAAGAUGCAUGGAAUGAAUAUUAUCAACAGUGUCAGACUUUUAUGAUACUUAGCAGAGGCUGAGCAAGACAGAAACCAGUGAUGGAUUGUUUG